AACAGCAAGCUUCUAGAAGGCACCGAACGCUGCUCACCCCAUGUUGCAUGAGCAAGAUGAAAUGGAGCCAAGAUGGCGGGCAAGACCCGCACGGAAGCAGGUCCAGGCAUUUCUGGAACCCUGUCUCCUCUGCAGUGCGUGGGCCGUGAUGACCCCGCUUCAGGGGCCAGUGGAAGUGAAAAAAUGUCAAAGAAAGAAGGAAAAGAGCCUGAGAUGGGAGAAAUGGAGUCCUUUCCCACUGCUUGUCUCGUCUGCAUUCACACAUGGGCCUUCCUGCCAUCCUUCUUCCAGAGUUCAUCCUUAAACCCGCACCCUCCAGCCUGCAUCAGAAGACUCCAGGAGUACUAUAAUAAGGAGAUAAUGAACAGCUUUCAAGUAUAAAAAUAUAUAUAAAGAUCACAUGCUGUGGAGACACAGGAAGAGAAAUACAGAUUUGAGGAGAAAAAGAAACAGAAUUCCCAGGACCUACAAACAAAAAUAUUUGUACUACUUGAACGUUAUUGAUGCAAGCGAUUGGUAGAGGAAGCUGCAAGUGAAAAGAUUGUGAGGCCAAGAGCAUGCAAAAUAUGUUCAAGGAACAACAAGGAGUCUGGCAUGGCUGGAGCAGAGAGAAGCACUGAUAGAGAGCAGCUGAGGACGGAGGGAGCCAGAGGUCAGGCCACGAAGCUUUGCAGAUCAUGUUUAUAUGAGCUUGAGCGUGACUUUAGCUUGGUUCAUCUGAGAAGGAUAUUUGAGCUGGAUACCAAAGCUGUGAACUGAAGGACAAGAACUUACCCAGACAUUGAGGAGAAGUCAUCGUUCUGUAUGUAAAGACACUAAUGAGAGCUGAAGUCUGAAGGACACUUCAGACGAACUGCCCCCUUGAACUUGCAGCACAACAAGCAAUAGGCCUCCUUCAGGCACCUUUGUGGAAGAAGAGCUUCUUGCCUGGUCUGUCUAUCCCCUGAUCCAGCAUCGCAGCUGCU